GCCCAACGCCCUUUCUGUCAAAGCCGUUCUGCAGAAGUUGGGCCACCAGUUGAGUUCGUCGAGCUAGGAUUGCAUUCACGGCGGGGGAAGAGCACGGAAUGCCCGAGGUCGAAGCCGCUGUCAGAGUCGGUCCCGGUGCCACUCACCACGCCUCGUGUGCAGGCUCCUCCUCUCUCGUCGAUGUCGAACAUAGCAGUGCCGUGACCGGCGGAGGGCGAUGGGGAAGCGGCGUGCUGCGGGCGCAGCAACGGGAGGCGCCGGAGGGCGUAAUGUCGCCGCCGUGGCAAUCGGAUGCGAUGAAUCACGCGCGCCUCCACUCUUCGCGUCGGGAUACAUAGGAGAGGAGCGGGGGGAUGGGCCGACCGCGGUGGGAGGCGGCGGACAAGCGAUUGGAGCCGACGAGGGAGGAGAUAUAAGAAAUGGGGAGCUUAUUUAUAACGUUGUAAGGGUCUUGCUGCAAAAUAUCGGAUUGAGAUUAAUAAUCGCGAUCUAAACCAGGGGCUUUUUGAAAAAUACUCAGGGGUUUUUUUGAAAAAUACCAUAUCCAAAAUAGGGGGCCUCUCUAAAAUUCUGAUUCGGCGACCUGGCACACCUGCUUUCUUUUUUCCAAGGAAUGUUCAAUGGCAAGUUGGCAACAUUGUUGGUGGAAGAUGGGAUCGAAGGAAAUCUACAGUGUCUGCCUGACAGGCUGAACUCCGAAGUUGCUUCUGUGAUAGUGACAAAAAUGAUAAAGCUCCUUGAGUGACGCAAAAAAGAGUGCCAAUCGGUAUGAUCUUCAUUCCCUGAUAAAGAGGGAAAUGGGGGGGAGAGGAUCCCCACCAAAUAUAUUUCAUGGAGCCUCUUGCAGCUCAAAAAAACCACAGGUUCAGCAGAUUUACAAAGCAGAGCGUGUACCGAAAGCUAGUGAGAGAUUACAUAUUUGAACAAAAGGAAUGGCACCAGGCUUCGCUUAUUCCUUGAUCUGAGCGCGGCAAUCGGCAACGCCAAAGCCUUGCUUCUUCCUUGCAUGCCAGCAGUAGUCUGAGGAGAGACGGCUCUGCUCCUCUGAAGAUCACCUCGUUACGAUGCUUCCAGAUUUGCCAUGAGCACAGUAGAAGAUAUGUGUGGAAAAAUUUAGCUGGGAGGUGUUCAGGUCUUGCGAGUUCCCAGAGACCCGACACUGAAGCAGAAGGGGGAAUGUCAAUUCCAACGUUUGCCCAGAGCUGCACCGCGAUGUUUGCAAAAUGGACAAGCUGCCGCAAAAUAAAUGGCUACUGAAAUUAUAUUUCCCCUUGCAGGUCACAGCCACAAGCCCAAGGAGUAUGCAUCGCCAGAGGACAUGUCAAAUGGGGGUCAAGGUCCUAGCCAUGACAAUGGCCAAGUGAGCAUGUGGAGGAAUCAAGUCAUCCGCUGCCAAAACAACAACUGUAUUCUUGCCAAUAAUAAGCUGAAUGGCAGUGGCACCAUCAUCCCUGCACCGGGCCUGCAUAUAAACUAUCAUUCAUCAGGAUUUAUUAGGAAUAAAGUUGUCAUCUGGAUUGGACGAUCUGGAAAGGCAGUCCUCCAACUGUUUGCGCAAGAAAUUACUGCAAUCUGGCUGAGUAGCUGACUCCAUUGUAUGUGCCACUUCUCCAAGAUGCUUGAUAGGUGGACUAUUCACUGAAGAUGCGGACAGAGAAGUAAGGAGCACUGGGUCUGAAUUAAUGUACCAUGGCUGCAUAGCAUGCUCUGAAAAUUAUUAAACGGUAACAAUUUUUUUUUUGAUGGAACAGGAGGGGGGGAUCCCCUACUGAAUAUAUUGAAAAAAAAAGGAAUGUUACAGGGUUACAGAAUUAUGCAGAGCUAAAGCUUUCUAGCCAUGAUGACAUGGAUUGUGAAUUCUUUGCCUUUGCACGAUGGAUAACCAUUGCAAAGUUCUUUUUGAAAAAAUCUAUUGCACUGUGGACUGACGGCGCUCUUGAUUCAAAGAUGAGCAUAUUUCUAGAAACCCAGAUACUCCAACACAUCAAGAUGAUAAUUUUCCACAAAGAAAGGCACUUGCAGGUUUGUUCUGAAGAUCUCCAAGGUUUGCAGUGGAUUCAGAUUCAGGUCACUGUUAAGAUUCAGUGAAGCCCAGCAUUGUGUGGCAAAGCUGCAGUGUAGGAAAAGAUGCUCAAGUGAUUCAUCCACCCCUGUAUUACAAACUGCACAAUUAUAGUCCUCUAGAAAUAUGUUUCUUCUUCUUAAUAAAUCUCUUGUGCCGAGCCUGUCUUUUAGCAAGAGUCAAAAGAAAGUUUUGUGUUUUAAUUGACAACAGGAUUUCCACAGCCAUUUGUAUACUGGAGGAGUUUCAAUGUGGCCUUUUAAAUGUC